rnacentral:rRNA from 1 species
UACGUAGGGUGCAAGCGUUAAUCGGAAUUACUGGGCGUAAAGCGUGCGCAGGCGGCUUUGCAAGACAGAUGUGAAAUCCCCGGGCUUAACCUGGGAACUGCAUUUGUGGACUGCAUGGCUGGAGUGCGGCAGAGGGGGAUGGAAUUCCGCGUGUAGCAGUGAAAUGCGUAGAUAUGCGGAGGAACACCGAUGGCGGAAGGCAAUCCCCUGGACCUGUACUGACGCUCAUGCACGAAAGCGUGGG